rnacentral:rRNA from 1 species
GACGAACCGUGCGAACGUUGUUCGGAAUCACUGGGCUUAAAGGGCGCGUAGGCGGGCUGGCAAGUCUGGGGUGAAAUCCUCCGGCUCAACCGGGGGACGGCCUGAGAUACUGCCGGCCUCGAGGCGGGUAGGGGCGUGCGGAACUAUGGGUGGAGCGGUGAAAUGCGUUGAUAUCCAUAGGAACUCCGGUGGCGAAGGCGGCACGCUGGACCCGAUCUGACGCUGAGGCGCGAAAGCCAGGGGAGCGAACGGG